rnacentral:rRNA from 1 species
CUGGGAGGACCAUCUCCUAAGGCUAAAUACUCUCUAGUGACCGAUAGUGAACCAGUACCGUGAGGGAAAGGUGAAAAGCACCCCGGAAGGGGAGUGAAAUAGAACCUGAAACCGUGUGCUUACAAGUAGUCAGAGCCCGUUAAUGGGUGAUGGCGUGCCUUUUGUAGAAUGAACCGGCGAGUUACGAUUUGAUGCAAGGUUAAGCAGUAAAUGUGGAGCCGUAGCGAAAGCGAGUCUGAAUAGGGCGUUUAGUAUUUGGUCGUAGACCCGAAACCAGGUGAUCUACCCUUGGUCAGGUUGAAGUUCAGGUAACACUGAAUGGAGGACCGAACCGACUUACGUUGAAAAGUGAGCGGAUGAACUGAGGGUAGCGGAGAAAUUCCAAUCGAACCUGGAGAUAGCUGGUUCUCUCCGAAAUAGCUUUAGGGCUAGCCUCAAGUGAUGAUUAUUGGAGGUAGAGCACUGUUUGGACGAGGGGCCCCUCUCGGGUUACCGAAUUCAGACAAACUCCGAAUGCCAAUUAAUUUAACUUGGGAGUCAGA